rnacentral:rRNA from 1 species
UAGGGAAUCUUCCGCAAUGGGCGAAAGCCUGACGGAGCAACGCCGCGUGAGAGAUGAAGGUCUUCGGAUCGUAAAACUCUGUUAUUAGGGAAGAACAAAUGUGUAAGUAACUAUGCACGUCUUGACGGUACCUAAUCAGAAAGCCACGGCUAACUACGUGCCAGCAGCCGCGGUAAUACGUAGGGGGCAAGCGUUAUCCGGAAUUAUUGGGCGUAAAGCGCGCGUAGGCGGUUUUUUAAGUCUGAUGUGAAAGCCCACGGCUCAACCGUGGAGGGUCAUUGGAAACUGGAACACUUGAGUGCGGAAGAGGAACGUGGAAUUCCAUGUGUGGCGGUGAAAUGCGCAGAGAUAUGGAGGAACACCAGUGGCGAAGGCGACGUUCUGGUCUGUAACUGACGCUGAUGUGCGAAAGCGUGGGGAUCAAACAGG